UACGGGGGGGGUAAGCGUUGUUCGGAAUUACUGGGCGUAAAGGGCUCGUAGGUGGCCAACUAAGUCAUGCGUGAAAUCCCUCGGCUUAACCGGGGAACUGCGUCUGAUACUGGAUGGCUUGAAUCCGGGAGAGGGAUGCGGAAUUCCAGGUGUAGCGGUGAAAUGCGUAGAUAUCUGGAGGAACACCGGUGGCGAAGGCGGCAUCCUGGACCGGCAUUGACACUGAGGAGCGAAAGCCAGGGGAGCAAACGGG
rnacentral:rRNA from 1 species